CCUACGGUGGGCUGCAGUGAGGAAUAUUGGUCAAUGGCCGCAGGGCUGAACCAGCCAAGUCGCGUGAGGGAUGACGGUCCUAUGGAUUGUAAACCUCUUUUGUCAGGGAGCAAAGGGCGCCACGUGUGGCGUUUUGCGAGUACCUGAAGAAACAGCAUCGGCUAACUCCGUGCCAGCAGCCGCGGUAAUACGGAGGAUGCGAGCGUUAUCCGGAUUUAUUGGGUUUAAAGGGUGCGUAGGCGGACUGUUAAGUCAGCGGUAAAAGCCCGGGGCUCAACCCCGGCGAGCCGUUGAAACUGGCUGUCUUGAGAUGUCGAGAGGUAUGCGGAAUGCGCAGUGUAGCGGUGAAAUGCUUAGAUAUCACGAAGAACCCCGAUUGCGAAGGCAGCUUACUAAACUGUGACUGACAUUGAUGCUCGAAAGUGUGGGUAUCAAACAGGAUUAGAUACCCCUGUAGUC
rnacentral:rRNA from 1 species